UACGUAGGGGGGCAAGCGUUUGUCCGGAUUUAUUGGGCGUAAAGAGCGUGUAGGCGGCCACACAGGUCUGCUGUGAAAACUCGAGGCUUAACCUCGAGACGUCGGUGGAAACCCUCCAGCUAGAGUCCGGAAGAGGAGAGUGGGAAUUCCUGGUGUAGCGGUGAAAUGCGCAGAUAUCAGGAAGAACACCCGUGGCGAAAGCGGCUCUCUGGGACGGUACUGACGCUGAGACGCGAAAGCGUGGGGAGCGAACAGG
rnacentral:rRNA from 1 species